rnacentral:rRNA from 1 species
UACGGAGGGUGCAAGCGUUAUCCGGAUUUAUUGGGCUUAAAGGGUGCGUAGGCGGCUAUUUAAGUCAGCGGUGAAAUCCUGCAGCUCAACUGUAGAACAGCCAUUGAAACUGAAUAGCUUGAGUAAUCUUGAGGUAGGCGGAAUGUGUAGUGUAGCGGUGAAAUGCUUAGAUAUUACACAGAACACCGAUUGCGAAGGCAGCUUACUGAGGAUUCACUGACGCUGAUGCACGAAAGCGUGGGGAUCAAACAGG